UAGGGAAUCUUCGGCAAUGGACGAAAGUCUGACCGAGCAACGCCUCGUGAGUGAAGAAGGUUUUCGGACCGUAAAACUCUGUUGUUAGUGAAGAACAAGGACGUUAGUAACUGAACGUCCCCUGACGGUAUCUAACCAGAAAGCCACGGCUAACUACGUGCCAGCAGCCGCGGUAAUACGUAGGUGGCAAGCGUUGUCCGGAUUUAUUGGGCGUAAAGCGAGCGCAGGCGGGUACUUAAGUCUGAUGUGAAAGCCCCCGGCUCAACCGGGGAGGGUCAUUGGAAACUGGGAGACUUGAGUGCAGAAGAGGAGAGUGGAAUUACAUGUGUAGCGGUGACAUGCGUAGAUAUAUGGAGAAACACCAGUGGCGAAGGCGGCUCUCUGGUCUGUAACUGACGCUGAGGCUCGAAAGCGUGGGGAGCAGACAGG
rnacentral:rRNA from 1 species